AAAAGAAGUUGUUGGUAACACUUUAUUUGAAGGGGUGUGCAUAAGACUGACCUGACACCGUCAUUAUUAUGACAUGACACCUAUCAUGAACAUG